CAGCCAUAGGCCCAGUCUGGUCAAGGCAGUUCUUCGGUUGAGGUCCCCUUCUCUGGUGACUCCUAAGUUGUGUCAAGUUGACAAAAAUGGGUAGCAAGCAGAAGCCAAUGGCAAAUGGGUGGUUACAGCCAACAGUUUGACCAAGUGGGUUCUGCUGCCUUGCUUUCCCUGUCCCAGUGCACCCUUCUCUCCCUCAGUGUCUCUGAGCUGAAGCAGCUGGUUGAGGGCCAUCAAGAACCAUACCUCCUUUGCUGGAACCAGUCACAAAACCAGGUACAGGUUGCUCUGAGCCAAGUGGCAGGCCCUGAGACUGUCUUAAGGGCUGCCACCCAUGGGCUGAUUCUCGGAGCCCUGCAGGAAGAUGGGCCACUUCCAGGGGAGCUGGCAGAGCUGAGGGACAGGGUUCAGGCUGGUCCUAAGAACGAAAGCUGGAUUCUUGUCAGGGAGACCCAUCAAGUGUUGGACACACUGUUCCCAAAGUUCUUGAAAGGACUGCAGGCUGCUGGCUGGAAGACCGAGAAGCACCAUCUAGAGGUGGAUGAGUGGAGGGCCACGUGGCCCCUGUCUCCAGAAAAGAAGGUCUUAUGAGCAGCCAGGCUCCAAGCCCAGAACUCAAGACAGGAGCCCGGAGACCAGGGUGGAGCCUGGAGCAAUGACAUUUCAGCCACAGCAGGAUGUUAGAAGGGCAGCUUUAUUUUUGCAUAGGCAAACAUCUAUGACAAAUUGGCCACCAUCUUGUGGGAAGUGACAACCAAUCAAAUGGACUGGACCCCAGGUAAAGAGGAAGGGAACCAGUUCCUUCCUGCCGUAUUUUUGCCCUUUUCUGGGAUCCACUACAAGUUCUUCACCCUCACUUUUCAUGAGGCUCAGACAUGCC
rnacentral:lncRNA from 1 species